rnacentral:rRNA from 1 species
AUGGCUCAGAACGAACGCUGGCGGCAUGGGAUUAGGCAUGCAAGUCGAACGGGAGCAGCAAUGCUCCAGUGGCGCAAGGGUGAGGAACACGUGAACAACCUGCCUUCGAGUUGGGGAUAGCUUCGUGGAAACGGGAGAUAAUACCGAAUAACAUCAACCGGUCGCAUGACUGGUUGAUCAAAGCAGCAAUGCGCUUGAAGGAGGGUUCGCGUCCCAUUAGCUAGUUGGUGAGGUAACGGCCCACCAAGGCGAUGAUGGGUAGCUGGUCUGAGAGGACGAUCAGCCACAUUGGGACUGAGAUACUGCCCAGACUCCUACGGGAGGCUGCAGUCGAGUAAGUUUUGGGCAAUGGACGAAAGUCUGAACCCCCAGCAAUGCCGCGUGCGGGAUGAAGGUCUUCGGAUUGUAAACCGCUGUCAAGAGGGACGAAACAUGACGGUACCUCUGGAGGAAGCCACGGCUAACUACGUGCCAGCCGCGGC